AGAGUUCGAUUAUGGCUCAGGAUGAACGCUAGCGGCAGGCCUAACACAUGCAAGUCGAGGGGUAACAGGUUUAGUUUACUAGAUGCUGACGACCGGCGCACGGGUGCGUAACGCGUAUGCAACCUACCUAUAACAAGGGGAUAGCUUAGAGAAAUUUGAAUUAAUACCCUAUGAAGUGAUUGACUGGCAUCGGUUGAUUAUUAAAGAUUUAUUUUGGUUAUAGAUGGGCAUGCGUAGCAUUAGCUAGAUGGUGAGGUAAUGGCUUACCAUGGCGACGAUGCUUAGGGGUUCUGAGAGGAAGGUCCCCCACACUGGUACUGAGACACGGACCAGACUCCUACGGGAGGCAGCAGUGAGGAAUAUUGGUCAAUGGACGGAAGUCUGAACCAGCCAUGCCGCGUGUAGGAAGACUGCCCUAUGGGUUGUAAACUACUUUUAUAUAGGAAGAAAGUUUGUCUUGCGAGAUAAUUUGACGGUACUAUAUGAAUAAGCACCGGCUAACUCCGUGCCAGCAGCCGCGGUAAUACGGAGGGUGCGAGCGUUAUUCGGAUUUAUUGGGUUUAAAGGGUGCGUAGGCUGGAGCAUAAGUUAGUGGUGAAAUUUUUCGGCUCAACCGGAGACGUGCCAUUAAAACUGUGUUUCUUGAAUGUGAUUGAAGUAGGCGGAAUAUAUCAUGUAGCGGUGAAAUGCAUAGAUAUGAUAUAGAACACCGAUAGCGAAGGCAGCUUACUAAGUCAUGAUUGACGCUGAUGCACGAAAGCGUGGGUAUCGAACAGGAUUAGAUACCCUGGUAGUCCACGCUGUAAACGAUGAUCACUAUCUAUUGGGCAUUAUUGUUCAGUGGUAAAGCGAAAGUGUUAAGUGAUCCACCUGGGGAGUACGAUCGCAAGGUUGAAACUCAAAGGAAUUGACGGGGGCCCGCACAAGCGGUGGAGCAUGUGGUUUAAUUCGAUGAUACGCGAGGAACCUUACCAAGGCUUAAAUGUAUGAUGAAGUGUAUAGAGAUAUGCGUGUUCUUCGGACAUUAUACAAGGUGCUGCAUGGCUGUCGUCAGCUCGUGCCGUGAGGUGUUGGGUUAAGUCCCGUAACGAGCGCAACCCCUAUUGUUAGUUGCCAACGAGUAAAGUCGGGGACCCUAACGAGACUGCCUGCGCAAGCAGAGAGGAAGGCGGGGACGAUGUCAAGUCACCACGGCCCUUACGUCUUGGGCUACACACGUGCUACAAUGGUGAGUACAGAGGGCAGCUACCCCGUGAGGGGAUGCGAAUCUUAAAAGCUCAUCUCAGUUCGGAUUGGAGUCUGCAACUCGACUCUAUGAAGCUGGAAUCGCUAGUAAUCGCGUAUCAGCCAUGACGCGGUGAAUACGUUCCCGGGCCUUGUACACACCGCCCGUCAAACAAUGGAAGUUGGGAGUGCCUGAAGGUGGUAACCGAGAGGAGCUAUCUAGGGUAAGACUAAUGACUGGUGUUAAGUCGUAACAAGGUAACCAAGGG
rnacentral:rRNA from 1 species